rnacentral:rRNA from 1 species
CCGCGGUAAUACGGAGGAUCCAAGCGUUAUCCGAAAUCAUUGGGUUUAAAGGGUCCGUAGGCGGUCAGAUAAGUCAGUGGUGAAAGCCCAUCGCUCAACGGCGGAACGGCCAUUGAUACUGUCUGACUUGAAUUAUUAGGAAGUAACUAGUAUAUGUAGUGUAGCGGUGAAAUGCUUAGAGAUUACAUGGAAUACCAAUUGCGAAGGCACGUUACUACUAAUAUAUUGACGCUGAUGGACGAAAGCGUGGGUAGUGAACAGGAUCAGAUACCCUGGUAGUCCACGCCGUAAACGAUGGAUACUUGCUGUUGGGCGCAAGUUCAGUGGCUAAGCGAAAGUGAUAAGUAUCCCACCUGGGGAGUACGUUCGCAAGAAUGAAACUCAAAGGAAUUGACGGGGGCCCGCCCAAGCGGUGGAGCAUGUGGUUUAAUUCGGUGAUACGCGAGGAACCUUACCAAGGCUUAAAUGUAGAUUGACCGGUUUGGAAAUAG